GCAGAUGUGGUGUAAGUGGUUAGCAUCAGGAUUUGGUAUGUCCUGGAUGUGGGUUCAAAUCCCGCCGUCUGCU
rnacentral:tRNA from 3 species